rnacentral:lncRNA from 1 species
AGAGCACACACACUGAGGAUAGAGAGAAGGUGGCCAUGUACAAGACAAGAAGAGAGUCCUUUCCAGAAAUGGACUCAGCUGGCACCUGGAUCUUGGACUUUCCAUCUUCAAGAACUCCAGCUACCCUCUGGGAAGCAUACGCAGCAGCCUGAUGGAGAGAUCCACACGAUGGUUUUGUGAACAGCCAUCAAGGAAUGGAAGUCUCCAGAAACAGCACAUGAAUCACAUCAGCAAGUGCAGACCAUUCUACGUUUAAAAUAUAUCCCAACCUGUCCAUCUCUUCUUAUCACCUCUACCAACACUACAGUCCAAGACACCAUCUUCUGUAGCCUGGACUAUGGGUGGAGUCUCCUGCUUUGCACAUCUACACAGAAGAAGAUGGACAACUCCAAGCCGAUGGACAACUGCAAGCCAGCCUCCAGCCAGAAGCAUGGAGUAUCACACUCUCAACCCCAUGUAGUCUGCCUCAUCCUACAAUUCCAGCUGCAUCUGGCUUUACUCUUCUCCGUGCUUACUCCUUUCAGACCUUUUUUUUUUUUUUUUUUUUUUCAGUUUCUGUAAUGUGUGCAUUUCCUAGAUCAUGCUCCUUUGAAAUGACUUAGGAGCAAAUUGGUGGUGGGAGGCAGGCUGGUGAUGUGAAAGGAAUGAGGGCAUGAGAAGAAUGAGGAAGAAAAGAAAGGGAAAACUCAGAGAGUGCAUUUUUGGAGAUUGGUGUUCCGGACAAUGUGUCCAGGACCUCUGAGAAGUAUACAGAACGCCUCUCAGAGAUGUUAACCUGAAGGAGGGUGGCUGGGGCAUCUGUUUACCAGCUCUUGUCCCCCCCAGUUGAGGGUUGCCUGGCAGGGGGUGGGAGUGGGGAAGAGCGUCAAUACUCCUGCAUUUCUGGGCUGUAUUUGUGCCGCUGUCAGAGAAAGCAGAAAGAUGCUCAGAGGCUUGCAGUGGGUGGAUAUCAGCUGGAGGUGAGUCUGACUGUCCACCACAGCUUUGGCUGAAAUUGAGGAGGGCUGAGGGGAGGGAACGUGGGGCACCAGAUGUGUCUCCAGCUCCAAGAUCUUCUUGCAUUGGUGACUUUGCGCAUGCUAGUCCUUCCGCUGGCUUUUUCCUCCUCCCUCCUCUGUGAGUAGCUGAAUCCCUUCUACAGUCUUAGGUCUCACCUUGCUAUCCUGUCUUCAGAGAUGCCUUCUCCUGUCUCCCAGUCUACAUUGUGUCUCCUUAGCGAGUCUUUCUCAUAGCACCUGCAGUGUAUGUGCCAGGAGUCAUGAUUCUCUAUUUGUGUGUUCUAGGUUGCAUCUGUCAUUCACACAGGGCUGUCAUUCUCUGACAUUUUUGUUUAUCUCUGUACACCCAGUGCCUAGCAGUCCAUCUGCAACACAGUAGGUGAGCAACCGAUGAGUAAAAAUGAGGACAGAUUAUAAACCUAAACAUGUAACCGAG